AAGACCUAGCAAAGGUGUCAUGGAGGGAGCAGGUUCCGAAAGGGCAGUGCCCUAGGGAAGCUUGGUCCCAAUGAAAGGACCAUUUCAAACAGCAGCAAGAGGCCCGUAUUACUGGGGGAACUACACAUUGCUCCAGAGAAUUGCUGCAAUGGUUUGACCUCUGUAGGUACCCUCAGUACAGAUUCUACUCUGGUUUGAGUCUCCAUAUACUACACCAGCAUUGACAAAAGAGGGUGCCCCAGGGAGAGCACCAACCUGUAACACUUGUGUCUGUGGAAGAUGUUGGAUUUACAGCAAUGGACUGUGAUCUAUUUGUGUGGCCAACAACACUAGACUGGAAAUCUGGAGAUCUGUCAACAGGAGCAUAACAGACUUCAAAGGGAAAAGGAGUGGACCUAGAAGCUAUAUAUAAAUCCUUUUAAGCAUCCAUUUGGCUGGCAAUCUGGAAGAUGUCAGCAUUCAAAGGAUUAGAGCAUCAUUUCAGACUCCUAAUUUAAAAUGUUACCAUAAACUGUAAUGGCUUCACCGGUCGUGGCAUGAAAUAAACUAGAAUGAUCUCAUCACCUUUAAUGACAGCUCUAUGAAAUUUAAGAUUAA